rnacentral:lncRNA from 1 species
ACCUGCAUGUCAUACCAGUAUCUCCAUACCAUUGGUUAUGAAGACAACUAAUGCAUAUGGCACACAAUGACCUACACUUAAUAUCAUUAUCGUCCUAGUAAUAGCGUAUCGUUUGAUUGCGAACCAAUUUAAAGAUUAUGCGAUAAAUCCUCCUUUAUCGAUCAAAGUAGUCCUAAGGACUUCAUCACAACAUAGAAGUUCGUUAGAAGAU